rnacentral:rRNA from 1 species
GACGAACGCUGGCGGCGUGCUUAACACAUGCAAGUCGAACGGACAGGCCCUGCUUUUGUGGGUUGCUCGUGUGCCGAACAGGUGUGUAACACGUGAGUAUACUGCCCUUAUCUUUGGGAUAACUUCUCGGAACUGGGGCUCAUACAGCAUAGGAUCUACUGCUCCACGGUGGUCGUUGGUAAGUUUCGGCGGUUGGGGAUCGACUAGCUGCUUAUCCGCUUCUUGGUGGGGUAGUGGCUUCCCAAGGCUUUGACGGGUAGCCGGCCUGAGAGGUUGACCGAGCACAUUAGGACUACGAGACGGACCAGACUCCUACGGGAGGCAGCAGUGGGGAAUAUGGCACAAUGGGCGGGAGCCAGAUGCAGAGACGCUGCGUGCGUGAUGACGGCCUUCGGGGUGUAAACCGCUGUCUCCUGUGACGAAGCGUGAGUGACGGUAAUGGGUAAAGAAGCACCGGCUAACUACGUG